UACUUAGGAACGACAAAUCUGAAGUCAAACAACAUUUGGAAAAUUCGUUUGUUUCAGAUGCAAAAGUGAGAGAAAAAAUCAAAAGAUCAUUUAACACAAUUAAAAGCCAAAACUAUCAGUAGAGCACUGGAAUUCUGCAGUGGAUGUGUAAGUGCAACUACUCUAAAAGAAGCCAGGAACCACUAUUCCUUCCUCUCUGAUUUAGCCAAAAAUUUAAGAAUAUCUGUUAAAGAACAAUUGAAGAUACAAACAAAAGACACUAGAUUCCGUUAUUUGACAGAUGAUGAUAAGAGGCUUGGUGGGGCAUUGUUUGACACCCUCUAUAAAGUAGGAGACAGGGUCGAUCUUACGGAUGUUUGGCCUAAUUACCUUUUCCUCAUUGAAGUUUAUAAACGGCAUCAAGGGAUCUCUAGCACUGUA